rnacentral:piRNA from 1 species
UUCUUCUUUGUUCGCAUCAAA